AGCAACCAGUCAAAAUCGAGUGCGGGACUGAAAUUCCACCAAUAAGGAUGAAAUUCGACCAAUAAGGCUCUCCAAAUAAAAGAAAUACUUUUUGUUGAAUUAAAAACUACCAAGGUACUUCGGGAUUUUGUUUGUUUUGUUUUGUUUAUUUUUGAGUCGGGCUGGGUCUCCGGGAGGUGCGGGAUGCAGGAUGUGAAGCAAGAGAGUGGUUGCCAAGCUUGGGCCAUGAUGAGGACAGUAACUAGGGAGGUACUACUCGGUGCCGGAGCACCAAGACACUCUGCCCUCUGCCAAACCCGUCACCUGUAGAGCUCUGGGCCAUGCCUGGAACUCACCCUGGAUGCAAGGUUCAGAGCCACAGCUGCUUGGUGACCUGGUUCCUGUAUUAGGCCGCGGUAGCCUCAGCCUCUAACAGGGACACCUUCGGAAUGUAAUCGGCAAAGAGAAUCACCUGGAUGGGAGUUCUCUCAGGGCACUGAGCAAGAAGCAGCUCACUCUACUCCAGAGGGAUUAUCUGAUCUCGCUCUGCAGACUCUAAAAAAUGCCAGCUGGGCUCUGCGCCUAGGCCUCCUUCCCUGUUAAGAGGACACGCUGGUCCCUACCUCAUACAGAUUUCUGGGGGUUCCACGAGAGUAUUAUGUACUUGCCACAGUGCCUAAGGCCACCCUGGAAGCAUCUCAGACCACAAAUACUUCUAUUUUGCAGGCCAGAAACAGUCAGGUCCCACCCACAACUGCAGGUGGAUUUGCACUCUGUGGGUGGAUAGCAAUGUCUUCCUCCCAAAAAGUAAAUUAUUAUAUUCUAGUUAGCUCAUGUAAAAGACACGCAAUCCAGGUAUUUUAUCUAUAAGCUGUAAACCUAGAUUGGGCAGGUUGGGAGCUAGUCUAACUUACAUCCCAGCUUAUGUCCCUUGUCACUUGCUGCUUCUCCUGGCCAUGUGCUCAUGGUCCAUCUCCUCUCAUGGUCACUUCCCCCCUCUCCAUGUCCUUUUUUUCUCUCCUUCUCCUAUCUGCCACCUCCAGCCAGGUAAUUGAAAACCUGCCUACCUCUAUCUAUCGCCCAACCAUAGGCUUUAGCCUUUUAUCUACCAAUUAACUUGGGGAGCAAGGCUUAACACAACAAAGGCUGGAUCUGCUUGUCUUGGAGCAAGAAGAUCUUGGGGUGCAGAAUUUAACAUUUGAAUAUAAGCAGCACCAGCCCAGCCUCCAGACCCUCCAGACCCAGGCACUCCUAGAGAGGAGCACAAGUGACCACCAGGGUCCCUGACAGGGACAUGGGCCCAGCCCUCUCCCCCGUACAUACACGAAUCAGCAAGGCAGAGUCCUUGCAGGCAUGCGCAGCACUUACAGAAGAGCAAGAGCAUCUUCACCCACCACGGCUGGGCUCUCUUCUGAACUCCACCUUCUCCAGCAAGUUGGCUGGACCGCCUCCAACCAUAAUCUAUUGCAAGUCCCCACCUAGAUGGAAAACCCUGGACUUUUUCGAGAGAGUGUCCCUACUUCUCUCUCCAGUGUGGAAGUUCCAAGGCCACCUGACCUCCUGGCAUCUCCCCCUUGGUUUCCAGAUUUUACCCUCAGCAGCCAAGCCUCUGCGGAAUAAAAUCCUCUUUGUGU